AGUGAACGCUGGCGGUAGGCCUAACACAUGCAAGUCGAACGGCAGCACAGUAAGAGCUUGCUCUUACGGGUGGCGAGUGGCGGACGGGUGAGGAAUACAUCGGAAUCUACUUUUUCGUGGGGGAUAACGUAGGGAAACUUACGCUAAUACCGCAUACGACCUACGGGUGAAAGCAGGGGAUCUUCGGACCUUGCGCGAUUGAAUGAGCCGAUGUCGGAUUGGCUAGUUGGCGGGGUAAAGGCCCACCAAGGCGACGAUCCGUAGCUGGUCUGAGAGGAUGACCAGCAAAACGGGAAUUAGGACACGGUCCAGACUCCUACGGGAGGCAGCAGUGGGAAAUAUUGGACAAGGGCGCAAGCCUGAUCCAGCCAUACCGCGUGGGUGAAGAAGGCCUUCGGGUUGUAAAGCCCUUUUGUUGGGAAAGAAAAGCAGCAGGUUAAUACCCCGCUGUUCUGACGGUACCCAAAGAAUAAGCACCGGCUAACUUCGUG
rnacentral:rRNA from 1 species